CCUACGGGGGGCAGCAGUGGGGAAUAUUGGACAAUGGGGGGAACCCUGAUCCAGCCAUGCUGCGUGUGUGAAGAAGGCCCUCGGGUUGUAAAGCACUUUCAGUGAGGAAGAACGCCUGGUGGUUAAUACCCAUCAGGAAAGACAUCACUCACAGAAGAAGCACCGGCUAACUCCGUGCCAGCAGCCGCGGUAAUACGGAGGGUGCGAGCGUUAAUCGGAAUUACUGGGCGUAAAGCGCGCGUAGGUGGCUUGAUAAGCCGGUUGUGAAAGCCCCGGGCUCAACCUGGGAACGGCAUCCGGAACUGUCAAGCUAGAGUGCAGGAGAGGAAGGUAGAAUUCCCGGUGUAGCGGUGAAAUGCGUAGAGAUCGGGAGGAAUACCAGUGGCGAAGGCGGCCUUCUGGACUGACACUGACACUGAGGUGCGAAAGCGUGGGUAGCAAACAGGAUUAGAUACCCUUGUAGUC
rnacentral:rRNA from 1 species